UACAGAGGUCUCAAGCGUUGUUCGGAUUCAUUGGGCGUAAAGGGUGCGUAGGCGGCGCGGUAAGUCGGGUGUGAAAUCUCGGAGCUUAACUCCGAAACUGCAUUCGAUACUGCCGUGCUUGAGGACUGGAGAGGAGACUGGAAUUUACGGUGUAGCGGUGAAAUGCGCAGAUAUCGGAAGGAACAUCAGUGGCGAAAGCGACUUCCUGGACCAGUACCGACGUUCAGGCACGAAAGCGUGGGGAGCAAACAGG
rnacentral:rRNA from 1 species